ACGAACGCUGGCGGCAUGCCUAACACAUGCCAGUCGAACGAGACCUUCGGGUCUAGUGGCGCACGGGUGCGUAACGCGUGGGAACCUGCCCUUAGGUUCGGAAUAACUCCCCGAAAGGGGUGCUAAUACCGGAUAAUGUCUUCGGACCAAAGAUUUAUCGCCUUUGGAUGGGCCCGCGUUGGAUUAGCUAGUUGGUAGGGUAAAAGCCUACCAAGGCGACGAUCCAUAGCUGGUCUGAGAGGAUGAUCAGCCACACUGGGACUGAGACACGGCCCAGACUCCUACGGGAGGCAGCAGUGGGGAAUAUUGGACAAUGGGCGAAAGCCUGAUCCAGCAAUGCCGCGUGAGUGAUGAAGGCCUUAGGGUUGUAAAGCUCUUUUACCCGGGAUGAUAAUGACAGUACCGGGAGAAUAAGCUCCGGCUAACUCCGUG
rnacentral:rRNA from 1 species